UACUUUUGUCCAAAGUCAAACUUCUCUAACUUCGACCGAGUUUAUAUAAAAAUGCACCGGCAUCUACAGUAAAAACUAAAUACACUAUCAAUACAUAUUUCAUGGUGGAUUUAAUGAAACUAAUUUGAUGUUGUAAGUGUUGGUGUAUUUUUUUUUUGGUAAACUCAGUCAAAGUUUGAGAGGUUUGACUUAGGAAAAAACUAA
rfam:Oryza sativa Japonica Group DNA, chromosome 9, cultivar: Nipponbare, complete sequence.